GGGGGAGGCAAAAAAAAGUUUUCUCUCCUCUGCAAAAGGCGGGCAGGGCGCCCUAAGUCCAAGGACAAUCCAUGGAAGUGUUCGCUUCUUCACAAGUUGUGCAAACGAUUUGUUAGUUCAUGAGCCUAAUUAGUGCGGGGAUCACAUAAACAGCUUCCUCCGAAGCCUGGUAAAUGGCUUGAUGAUUGGUCGCUAUUACUCGCCCUGAGGUGGAAGGGGGGAGACUCUUUAAAGUGCGUCAGAGGGAGGCAGGCGCCUGGGAACCCGGAGGCCUGGAUCCGGGCCGAGAGUGGAACGGAGUCGGCGCCGCUGCCUCGGCUGUGCCUCUGGCGCCCGCCAGGCCGCCCGGCCUCUCCGCGCCCUCGUCCCGCGCUCCCGGCUCAGUCGCUACCGCGGCGCCCGCUGCAGCUUCUCCUCCGCCUCUUUCGCCGCCUCCUCUGCCUUCAGCUUCUUCUCUUCUUCCUCCUCCUCCUCUUCCUACUUCUUCCUCUCCUCUUCUUCCUCCUCCUCUUUCCCCACCUCCUCUCUCUCAGCCACCGCCUCCUCCUCCACCGCCACCACUCCCUCUGGGGCACCCCGGUCCCUGCAGAGUCCCGGCCGGCGGCGCCUCGGCUGCAGCCCCCUGGAUCCUGAGCCUGCUGAGCCCGAGCUGGUAGGACAGACGGACAGACAGAUACGCAGAUUCCUCACGCCUAGCGCUCCGCCGCUGCUGCCCUCCGCGGCCCCGGGUCAGGGGAGCUGGGAUCGCCCCCCGAGUACCGCGAGGGUGUUCGCUUGGCAAGAAACUCCUGAUUCAGAAACCCUUCCAGCAAGGAGAUAAGUUUUUCUCAGCAGCAAAUGACUACAAACACAUCUGCAUUGACAAGUCGAAACUUAUAUCCUUCUAUGGUCUUUCUGCUCUUUUGAAAAUGUUAAUAAAAACUUAAUGUGGAAAAAAACA
rnacentral:lncRNA from 1 species